GGGGGCCCGCACAAGCGGUGGAGCAUGUGGUUUAAUUCGACGCAACGCGCAGAACCUUACCAGCCCUUGACAUGUCCAGGACCGGUCGCAGAGACGUGACCUUCUCUUCGGAGCCUGGAACACAGGUGCUGCAUGGCUGUCGUCAGCUCGUGUCGUGAGAUGUUGGGUUAAGUCCCGCAACGAGCGCAACCCCCGUCCUUAGUUGCUACCAUUUAGUUGAGCACUCUAAGGAGACUGCCGGUGAUAAGCCGCGAGGAAGGUGGGGAUGACGUCAAGUCCUCAUGGCCCUUACGGGCUGGGCUACACACGUGCUACAAUGGCGGUGACAGUGGGAUGCGAAGACGCAAGUCCUAGCAAAUCUCAAAAAGCCGUCUCAGUUCGGAUUGGGCUCUGCAACUCGAGCCCAUGAAGUUGGAAUCGCUAGUAAUCGUGGAUCAGCACGCCACGGUGAAUACGUUCCCGGGCCUUGUACACACCGCCCGUCACACCAUGGGAGUUGGCUUUACCUGAAGACGGUGCGCUAACCA
rnacentral:rRNA from 1 species